UAAAACAUUAACAUUUGACGUUUCGGAAAACGAUUUACAAAAUAAGACGAAAAGACAUGCUUCCUUACAAUGUACAGUGCUUAAUUCAUAAGUAUGUGCAAUGUCACUUUAAGGAUGCAUGUCGAAAUUAGCAAAGUCAAGUCUAGAAAAGCAGGCACCAUGGAUGAAUAAGGGAUAAAUACGGCUUCGAUGUGAACUAAAGACCGGCAUUCGUUUAGAACGUGCCGACAGGCUAGUAAAAAGACAUAUGUGAGUGCAAGAGGGACCGGACCAUUCACCUCCACAUUCCCGAGACAAUUUUUGACCCACUCAUCAGCCUCGUCAUUCCCCUUAAAGCCGACGUGACCUGGGACCAAUACCUUGACGCACAACGUUGGCCGUUAUCUACUCGGACGGAACCGCCAAACCUCGCCAGACCAAGUUAUAAAGAUGCAACCAGAUUGUGAGAGGUAAAAUAAGAGGCGUUGAGUUUUCUUCUGUCACGUUUAAAGUUUAUGUUCAUUCUCGAUCCGAUUUUGGAAGGCCAAAGUUUCAGGUGGAAGAUUGAUAUCACUGAAUACUGAUUUUGUAUGUGUGAUUAAAAAUAUAGCCUGUUCAAUGGGAUUCUUCGCAAUUUUAUCUCUUUAUCUCAGAAGUGUACAGGGCAGGUAGAAUGACCUUUAAUUCAGUGAAUCUUGUUCCAAAAUCCCUAGUAUUUGACCCUUGGAAUCACAUUCUUAGGUUCAGUUUCCAGAGCCCUAUAUAAAAUCAUAUUGUCAGGUGAGGGGUUUCUUUUUAGGUUAUUAAAUGUUUAUUUUAUACCCGCAACUCUCCCGUGAAAUUGACCUUCUUUUUACCUUUUGGAGGGCAGUAAGGCAAGGAAAGAAAUCCGACCCUAAAUUUAUGUCUAGGACCCUACAUGACGUAACACCUGCAAAACAGACACUGACUAUGGUUUGGUCAAUGCACAUGGUUUGAGAUUUCCAUCCAGGUACAGACGUCCUCACAAUAUUUACAGACUUUGGAACAACCCUACACUGGAUGAUGUGCAUUAAAGUCACCAGUGUACAUCAGUUUUAUUAUAUUGUUUGUACUCCGUAUAUUACUCUCCUGUGUGUGAAGAGCCUGAAUAUCACAACCCCGAGAGUAGACAUUCAUUAGAACAAAGAACUGGUGUUUUGUAUGGUGCGCAAUAAUUGCCAGUGCCUCGAUGGACGUGCCGCCAUAUGUUUUUUUACGGAACAGCGACAUGCAAGGCCUGGGAUUGAACAUUAUACUUAAUAUAAAUUAUUAAGCCUGCAGUAACAUUAUUAUUUUAGUUUGUAUGAUUUAAAAUUUUAAUAAAUGUGA